rnacentral:rRNA from 1 species
AGGGAAUAUUGGACAAUGGGCGCAAGCCUGAUCCAGCAACGCCGCGUGCGCGAUGACGGCCUUCGGGUUGUAAAGCGCUUUUAGGAGAGAUGAGAAAGGACAGUAUCUCCAGAAUAAGCCUCGGCGAACUACGUGCCAGCAGCCGCGGUAAAACGUAGGAGGCAAGCGUUAUCCGGAUUUAUUGGGCGUAAAGCGUGUGCAGGCGGUUUGGCAAGUUGGAUGUGAAAGCUCCCGGCUUAACUGGGAGAGGUCGUUCAAAACUGCCAGACUAGAGAAUGGAAGAGGGAGGUGGAAUUCCGGGUGUAGUGGUGAAAUGCGUAGAUAUCCGGAGGAACACCAGUGGCGAAAGCGGCCUCCUAGGCCAUUUCUGACGCUAAGACACGAAAGCUAGGGUAGCAAACGG